UUUUAACCAUAGCCCUCUUUGGGCUUCCAAAUAUCACUUCGCGAAUUCCACAAGAACGGGCUUAACUAGCGGCUUCUUGAGUGGAAAACAGUAACUCUGUGAGAUGAAUUAACAGAACACUAAGCAGUUUCUCAGAAAGCUUCUUUCCAGAUUUCAUCUGAGGAUAUUUCCUUUUUCACCAUAGCCCUCUACGGGCUUCAAAAUAUCACUUUGCCAAUUCCACAUGAACUGUCUUAGCGAGCGGCUUCUUGAGGGGAAAGCCGUAACUCUUUGAGAUGAAUUAACAGAACACUAAGGAGUUUCUCAUAAAGCUUCUUUCCAGAAUUCAUCUGAGGUUAUUUCCUUUUUCACCAUAGCCCUCUAUGGGCUUCCAAAUAUCACUUUGUCAAUUCCACAAGAACUCUCCUAGCGAAAGGCUUCUUGAGGGGAAAGCUGUAACUCUGUGAGAUAAUUUCACAGAACACAAAGAAGUUUCUCAGAAAGUUUCUUUCUCUUUGUUAUCGAAGGAUAUUUCCUUUGGCACUAUAGUCUUCAAAGGUAUCCGAAAUAUCUCUUCUCAGAUUCCACGGAACUAAGCCUAGCAAAGAGAUCCACGAAAUACAGAUGUAACUCUGUGAGUGGAAGUCACACAUCAAAAAGCAGUUUCUCAGAAAGCUUCUGUACAGUUUUUCUCUCAGGAUAUUUUAUUUUUCACUCUAGCCCUCUAUGGGCUUCCAAAUAUCACUUUGCGUAUUCCACAAGAACAGGCUUAGCGAAAGGCUUCUUGAGGGGCAAGCUGUAACUCUGUGAGAUGAAUUAACCGAAAACUAAGCAGUUUCUCAGAAAGCUUCUUUCCAGAUUUCAUGGGAGGAUAUUUCCUUUUUCACCAUAGCCCUCUAUGGGCUUCCAAAUAUCACUUUGCAAAUUCCACAAAACUGUCUUACGAAAGGCUUCUUCAGGGGAAAGCUGUAACUCUGUGAGAUGAUAUCACAGAACACAAAGAAGUUUCUCAGAAAGCUUCGUUCUCUUUAUUAUUUUAGGAUAUUUCCUUUGGCACUAUAGUCUUCAAAGGGUCCGAAAUAUCUGUUCUCAGAUUCCACGGAACUAAGCCUAGCAAAGAGAUCCACGAAAUACAGAUGUAACUCUGUGAGUGGAAGUCACACAUCACAAAGCAGUUUCUCAGAAAGUUUCUUUCCAGUUUUUCUCUGAGGAUAUAUUCUUCUUCACCAUAGCCCUCCAUGGGCUUCCAAAUAUCACUUUGCGAAUUCCACAAGAACAGGCUUAGCAAGCGGCUUCUUGAGGGGAAAGGUGUAACUCUGUGAGAUGAAUUAACAGAACACUAAGCAGUUUCUCAGAAAGAUUCUUUCCAGAUUUCAUCUGAGAAUAUUUCCUUUUUCACCAUAGGCCUCUAUGGGCUUCCAAAUAUCACUUUGCCCAUUCCACAAGAACUGUCUUAGCGAAACGCUUCUUGAGGGGAAAGCUGUAACUCUGUGAGAUGAUUUCACAGAACACAAAGAAGAUUCUCAAAAAGCUUCUUUCUCUUUGUUAUCGGAGGAUAUUUCCUUUGGCCCUAUAGUCUUCAAAGGGAUCCGAAAUAUCUGUUCUCACAUUCCAGAGAAAUAAGGGAGAAAAGAGAUCCACGAAAUACAGAUGUAACUCUGUGAGUGGAAGUCACACGUCACCAAGCAUUUUCUCAGAAAGCUUCUUUUCUGUUUUUCUCUGAGGACAUUUCCUUUUUCACCAUAGACCUCUAAGGGCUUCCAAAUAUCUCUUUUCGAAUUCCACAAGAAGAGGCUUAGCGAGCGGCUUCUUGAGGGGAAAGCGAUUACUCUGUGAGAUGAAUUAACAGAACACUAAGCAUUUUCUCAGAAAGCUUCUUUCCAGAUGUCAUCUGAGGAUAUUUCCUUUUUCACCAUAGCCCUCUAUGGGCUUCCAAAUAUCACUUUGCCAAUUACACAAGAACUGUCUUAGCGAAAAGCUUCUUGAGGGGAAAGCUGUAACUCUGUGAGAUGAUUUCACAGAACACAAAGAAGAUUUUCAGAACGCUUCCUUCUCUUUGUUAUCGGAGGACCUUUCCUUUGGCCCUAUAGUUUCUAAAGGGAUCUGAAAUAUCUCUUUUGUCAGGAUUCCACAGAAAUAAGGCUAGCAAAGAGAUCCACUGAAAUACAGAUGUAAACCAUGUGAGUGGAAUCUCACACAUCAUUGUGCUGUGCUCUCAGGAAGCUUCUUUCCAGUUUUUCUCUGAGGAUAUUUCCUUUUUCACCAUAGCCUUCUAUGGGCUUCCAAACAUCACUUUGCGAAUCAGACAAGAACUCCGCUUAGCUGCGGUGGUUUCUUGAGGGGAAAGCUUUCGUAAUUCUGUGAGAUGAAUUAACAGAACACUAAGCAGUUUCUCAGAAAGCUUCCUUCCCAUCUGAUGAUAUUUCCUUUUCACAAUAGCUCUAAGGGCUUCCAAAUAUCACUUUACAGUUCCUCAAGAACUGUCUGAAGGAAAGGAUUCUUUGAGGGGAAAGCUGUAACUCUGUGAGAUAAUUUCACAGAACACAAAGUAUUUCUCAGAAAGCCUUUUCUCUUUGUUAUCGGAGGAUAUUUC
rnacentral:lncRNA from 1 species